rnacentral:ncRNA from 1 species
AUAGACAUAGAAAGAAGAAGGUGUUAAUUCUCUUUACAAGUUAUUACCAUGAGUUUAAGCCUUAGUACAGCUAAGUAUACGUAUAGCGACACUGCUUUUUGAUCCUUCGAUGUUGGCUCUUCCUAUCAUUGUGAAGCAGAAUUCACCAAGCGUUGGAUUGUUCACCUACCAACAGGGAACGUGAGCUGGGAUUAGACCCUACUGAUGAUGUGUAGUUGCAAUAGUAAUCCUGCUCAGUACAAGAGGAACUGCAGGUUCAGACAUUUGGUGUAUAGUGCUUGGCUGAGGAACCAAAGGUGCAAAGCUACCAUCUGCAGGAUUAUGACUGAACAGCCCACCGGUGAAGGAGAGCUGUUUGUGACUGGACUGGGGGACUGGGGGACAGCCGAACAACGGCCGCCCCUCUCCAAUUGUGGACUCAUCUUUGUGGAGAACCUGGUGCUAAAUAACUUCUAAACAUCCUGAUAAACGACCAAUACCUGUCACUAUGUGUACAAUCAGGUUAAGGCAGGCAGGUGGAAAACAUGUACAGGAUACAUAGGAGGAGGAGCCUGGACCUAUGUAUAUAACAACU